AACGAACGCUGGCGGCAGGCCUAACACAUGCAAGUCGAACGAGAAGCCACCUUCGGGUGGUGGACAGUGGCAGACGGGUGAGUAACGCGUGGAAACGUGCCUUUCGGUUCGGAAUAACCCAGGGAAACUUGGGCUAAUACCGGAUACGCCCUCCGGGGGAAAGAUUCAGUCGCCGAAAGAUCGGCCCGCGUCGGAUUAGCUAGUUGGUGGGGUAAUGGCUCACCAAGGCGACGAUCCGUAGCUGGUCUGAGAGGAUGACCAGCCACACUGGGACUGAGACACGGCCCAGACUCCUACGGGAGGCAGCAGUGGGGAAUAUUGGACAAUGGGCGCAAGCCUGAUCCAGCCAUGCCGCGUGAGUGAUGAAGGCCUUAGGGUUGUAAAGCUCUUUCACCUGGGAAGAUAAUGACGGUACCAGGAGAAGAAGCCCCGGCUAACUUCGUGCCAGCCGCCGCAGUAAAAC
rnacentral:rRNA from 1 species